rnacentral:lncRNA from 1 species
AGGAGGGGAAGGGGGAUCAGCAUAUUUGGUGACUAUCCCCUGGAUGAUGUAGACACUAGUUUUGGAAAGGAGUUAAGUAUUAGAUCCUAGACAUCCAGGCCUUGCAUAGCCCUGAAGACUGCAUAUGUUAUGCCAAGGAAAGCUUAUGUUUUCUCCAGACAACAUCCUUUGGCGUUGCUCUCUCCAUGUGCUAGUGUCCUUCUCUCAGUACCUGCCUCCUAGGCACUGGGAAAACAAAGAUGAGUGAAACAUAGCUUAAGGCGCUUGUAUUCAAAAGGGCAGCAUGUCUUAGUAGCUUAGAUACUGUAGUGGAGAGGAGAGAAUGGGGUGGGGCGGGUUAAGUGAGGUAGAUAGAACAGGAUAGAGAGGGACCAAGAAGGAUUUUUUUUAUUAGAGGCAUGCGUCAGGAGACCCUGCUCCACGCUCCAUUCUUUUCCUCAGGUGGCAGAAAUCCAUACUUGUUCAAAGGGCCAGGUUUAUCCAUUUGAAGUGCAGUGGAAAAUAAUAACUAGAUGACCCCCAGUGUCCCUUGUAGCAAUAACAUUUUAUAAUUCUAGAUGAUGAUUUAGACAGUAUAUCUCUUGGAGAGGUAUUUUCUUCCUUUCUCUUCCCUUCCUCCCUCUCUCCUCCCCUUUCUUCCUUAGGCAGUGGUAGGGGUGUAGAGGUAGAGAUAGGAUUUUCACAUGAGUGUCUAGGAAAACCUAGAUUUAUUCAGUUUUAGCUUUAUAUAUAAAAUGUACAUUUGUAGGGGAGAAGAUGGCAGCAGUAGUGUUAGCCUAUUGUCCUACAGCUGCCCCCUUCGUGCUAUAAGGAAAGUUUCAGACCCACACUCUCAGGACUAGAGGGAAAGGAGCAGUGAGAUAAAUUGGGAGCCUAGUUACGAACCUUAGGAUCUUUGGUCUGGUUCCUGCUACUAACUUGAUGUAUGGAUUUGGCCAAGCCCCUUUCAUUUCUUCAUAAAAUAACCAGAAGGCCAAAAGGUGAAGGCUAGGGACAAAAAAAGGAUUGGAGGUUCUUCCCUAGUGAGGAAUAACUAGAGACAGGUGUCUGCCCAAGUACCAUUUUUAGUUACCUCUUCUGAAUGUUUCUACAGCCCUUCCUUUUUUCUCAGUUUUAGUGACUUUAUGUCACUUCAUGAUGGCCUCCAUGUGAAUAAAUGUGCUGUACCUCCUGGGAGGGGGGGAGGACAGAUGGGACGUUAUACCCUAGGGUCUAGUCUGCAUCCUUAAAGAGCUCUUUAAGCUGUCUACUGCCCCCUGCUCUCUAUGCUGGGGUCGGAGUGGGGAGUUUUCUGAGGCUGAGGCACAUGUAUUUGGAGUGCUCCACUGACUAAAGUGCAAAUCUGGCCGUCCUCCCAACAUGCCCAGUGCAGUUCCACUGGGGGAAAUAUCAUUCAGUGGGCUUUUGAUGCUUGCCAAAGUCACAUUAAUUGUUUUUUUUUGUUGUUGUUGGGUCUUUUUUUUUUGUCUUUUGAGGGCUGCACCCACAGCAAAUGGAGGUUCCCAGGCCAGGGGUCCAAUUGGAGCUGUUGCUGCUGGCCUACGCCAGGGCCACAGCAAUGCCAGAUCCUAGCAGCGUCUGCAACCUACACCACAGUUAACGGCAAAGCUGAAUCCUUAACCCACUGAGCAAGGCCAGGGAUCGAACCUGCAACCUCAUGGUUCCUAGUCAGAUUUGUUUCCGCUGAGCCACGAUGGAAACUCCCAAACUCAUUAAUUGUAAUUACCUAAUACUCCCUGGGACCUCGGUCUUCCUGUCUGUAAAACAAGGGGAUUGGACUGGAUAAUCUUGAAUCAUACUAUAGGUUUUUAUUGACACUCAUGUCAAAACCUUAUCUCCACCUCUACACCACUGCCUAACUAAUUAAGGAAGAACGGGGAGGAGAGAGGGAAGAAGAAGAAAGAAAGUACCUCUCCACAAGGUGUACUGUCUAAAUCAUCAUCUGGAAUCAUAGAAUAAAAGGAAAAUAAACAACAUCAUAGGAUUCCCAAACACUAUUAUUAGGAGUGGAAAAACACCAGACCAGAAAUUUGCAUUUCCUUAGAGCUUUAGCUUUAUGAGGUAGAUAAAUCUGUUGAGGUUACCUGGCCCUUGAAAUGCCAUCUGUAGAAACUGAAUAUUUAUGUUUAUUUGACAAGGUAAGAAUCAUUGCUUUAUUUCAAGUAAGUAUUCUCAUUUAGAAGGCCACGUUUAGUGUUAUUGGCCAGAUUUUUUUCUAGCUAUCUCCUGUUUAUUUCCUCCUGUUUAUUUAUUAAAAAUUUCACUAAGCCUAGUUAAAGGUGGUAUUUGGAUGGUGUCUGUUGAUCUGUUUGUCUUGUUUCCUUUGUAAUUCCUUGUGCUAGUGAAAGCAAGCUUAGCAGUGGAUUUAAAAGAAUCAUUUCCAUAACUCAUUAUUUCUCUAGGUCUGGGUUUCCUUUUUGGAAGGUAAGAUCUUGAUACAUUGAGAAGUCAAAGGUUGUUCCCUGCUUACACAAACCAUUUUAAGAUUUUGUUCUUCUCAGGUGUAAGUGGGUACUGAGGAAUAGUGCUCUCAGUAUAAUAAUGAUAGCUGUGCCCAAAUCAGUUGAACACAAGAAUAACUUUUCUUCGUACCUUAAAGACUCACUCUAAAUUGAUUUUCACACCAAUUAAAAUUAACUCUUACUAAAAUUAAAGUCUUAGGUAGAGUUACCAAGCUAAGUAGGUUACCUAGGUGCUGUAGCAAGAUUAUGCUUGGAAGUCCAACUGCCUUCCAUCCCUAAGUUCAACCGUUUGUUCCAGGAAUUUGGAGUACCUACUGUGUGUUCUCCCUACGGAGAACAUAAAAACCAAUAGAGAGACGUGAUUCCUACCCUCAAAUUACGUUCAGUCUUGAGAGGGAGACAGAUAAGUACAAUAGGUUUAUUCUUACCCCUGUUGCCCUGGCCUGGAUAUUUGAGUUAAGAGUUCAGAGUGGAAAUAGCAGAAUUGAUGGAGACUUGGCAGGAAGACUUAUUUGAAUAUCUGACUUAUGUUUCAGUUUAUUUUUGACCUUUCCUUUGUCUCUUCCUUUCUUCUGCCUGUUAUCCAGAUUUUAUCCUCUGUUGCUGAGGUGUCCAGCACCCAGUGUGUAAAGUCAAGAACUUGAGGGUAGGGACAGCAUUGUCCUUUAGGUUUGGGUGUCCGGACAUCUGCCUAAUGCUUUCCCUGUUCUCUUCACCUCAGUUCUCUGGCAGGCUUCAGGAAGAUUUGAUAUUGUCUAGCUUCUUAUUUAGGAAUUAAUAAAAUUAAAUUUCAUAUUGAAUUAUUUUAAGUUUUGUUAUACUCAGUUUUUUUUUUUUUUUUUUUUUGUCUUUUGUCUUGUUGUUGCUAUUUCUUGGGCCGCUCCCGCGGCAUAUGGAGGUUCCCAGGCUAGGGGUUGAAUCGGAGCUGUAGCCACCGGCCCACGCCAGAGCCACAGCAACGUGGGAUCCGAGCCGCGUCUGCAACCUACACCGCAGCUCACGGCAACGCCAGAUCGUUAACCCACUGAGCAAGGGCAGGGACUGAACCCGCAACCUCAUGGUUCCUAGUCGGAUUCGUUAACCACUGCGCCAUGACGGGAACUCCUAUACUCAGUUUUGAAAUAAAAUAGCUCUAUAUUGUUUGCAAGUGGAAUUACUUGAGGUGUGGUUUCUGGCAUUUGAUCAAUUUGUGACUUAUUAAUUGUGACUAUGCUGUGGUUCUUAAAGCCCAUGCUAGUGUCUCUGUCAGGCUUUUUUGGACACUUUGUAGCAUGGAGCCCUAGAAAUGGAGGGAAGGUUGAGUUUACCCUGUCUCGAAGAGCUCUUGCUCUUCCCUUGUCCCUACCUCAAAAACAGUGUUAUUUGGGAUGCUGUGUUAUGUUCAUGAUUUCUUCCAGUUUAGCAUUACUUAAGAGAUCUAAAAGAAGAGGAAAUAUGCCUGUGUACGUCCACAAACGUUAGGGCCAAUACUGAAAUCAAUCAGCCAAACUGUGGAGCCCACUGAGUGCCUUCCUUGGUUCUGUGAGGGAGGUAAAUAUAUAUGUAAAGCAUACUCUUAUCUUCAGGGAACCUUUGGUCUCUUUGGGGAAAUAGGUAAUCAUGAAGAUGUAGAUGAUAAAAAGGCAGUUUGGUUAGAGAGCUUGGUUUGGAAGACUAAGGUCUUACUCUUAUACCCUGGAACUAAUUUGGCUAGGUAAACUGGGGUAAGUCAUUUUUCUCUCUAUGAAGCUCCAUUUUCUCAUCUAUAAAAUGGGGUUAAUCUAUGUCUUGGCUUCUUCACAUUGUUAUUGUGAGGAACAGGUUAGAUAAUGUUAUUAAAAGUGCAUUAUAAAACCAAAUGAUGCAGUUUAAAUGUGAAAAAAUCAUGAGUCAUUUGACAGAGGUAAUAGGUAAAUAGCAGUUUUCUAUAGAAGGGGCGAUUUCUUUGUGCUGAAGUGAUCAGAAAGAGUGGUCUGGACCAGCCUUGGGAUUGGGAGAAAGAAUGAUGGAAGCAUUUAGACAGAGGCAAUGAGGGAGCAAAGGACUGUAGGCAGAACUGCUGAGGAGGAGCAGUGAGUGAGUAUUCUCCAACCACAUGCUUGAGUCAUAGGGUUCAGGUGCAGUAGUUACUGACAGUUUUCAGAGGCAUACCAGAUCACGCUCUCAUCAGCUGUGUUUGAGAGAAAUCCUGUUGCUUCACAUCCUUGACAACACUUACAUUAUCUGUCUUUCUCAUUUUAUGUCUCUCUGGUUGGUAUGUAGUUACAGGAAUGAAUUGUAAGGGGAAGUUCCCGUUGUGAUGCAGCUUGGAUCCUGCAUUGCUUUGGCUGUGGCAUAGGCCAGUAGCUCUAGUUCCAAUUGGGCCCCUAGCCUGGGAACCUCCAUAUGCCGCCGGUGCAGCCCCUAAAAGCAAAAAAAAAAAAAAAAGCAGUGAAUUGUGAGAAUCGUAAUAUGAACUCUCAGAUAGCAAGACCAUAAAGAGGUAGUGAUUGGGAGGUUCAGAGGAGGGAGAGAUUGUUUCUUUUGUGGGUAUUUGUCACUCAGGGAACAUUUAUGGAGGAGUGAACAUCUGAGCUGGGCCUUGUAGGAUAAGAAUAGUCACCAUGUAUUAUCCAGGACCUUCCAAAUCUCUAAUAUUCUGUCUGAUUGUGCUUAUAAGUGAUGAAUCACCAGUAUUUCUAUGUCUGGGCCAAAUCUCUCCUCUAGACUACCCAGAAGCAGCACCCAGAUAUCUUUUCUCAGCUGCUGUGCUUCUCUCCUCUACCCACCCCCCCGCUUUUGUCUUUUCUAGGGCCACACCCAUGGCAUAUGGAGGUUCCCAGGCUAGGGGUCCAAUCAGAGCUGAAGCUGCCAGCCUGCACAACAGCUCACAACAACGCUGGAUCCCCAACCCACUGAGUGAGGCCAGGGAUUGAACCUGCAACCUCAUGGUUCCUAGUCAGAUUCGUUUAUGCUUCGACACGACGGGAACUCCCUCUCCUCUACCUCUUUAAUUCCAGAAAGUAUGGUUGCAGAAGAUUUAGGCUCCAGAGAUGGAAAGAGGACAUUCUGUGCAAUGGGAACAACUUGAACAGAAACACAGAUCAGGUGGCAUCCAUAUUCCUGCUAAUGAGCAGAGUAGGAAAGACACGUCCCAUACUUUGGGGGUGGGUGGUGCCUUCUCAUAGUCUCUUGGAACAGGUGGAAAAGGUAAUCCCAUCCCCAAGCCAAUUUGUAUUUAAAUCGGAUAGAAGGACGAGAAUGACCUCUUUGCCUGAAAUUACAUCAUUUCAGGGAAGAAAUUAAUCUAGCAAGCAGUCAUACUCGAAGUAUAUUGAAAGAGAUCUUGUCUUCUCUUAAAAUGGAGGGGCAGGAAGGGAAAUGCCAGGACCUAAAGAGCUUAGUCUCUCAGUGCUCAUCUAUUACUUGUAUAUUUGCUCAGGGAAAAAUUGCCAUUUCUUUGUCAGCUUUUAUCCUGCCGUGUGAACCUUAGCUGGGUGUUUAUUUUCUGUAGUUUUACCAAAUCACUUUGAAGGCUGGAGUGAACAUUGAUCAUGUCUUAGAGCCUUUCUUCUUUGUUCUGUCAGCAAAUAUUAGAAAAUGUACCUUCAGUUACCUGGUUUUGAGAAAUAAGGUGGCCCUGCCUACUCCCAGAGAGGCAUGUUAAAUAUUAGUCAGCUCCUGAUCCAGUGUCAGGUCCUGGAGUAUUUUUCAGGAGACACUUGAGGGUAUUAGAGCUGCCAGUGGGUAUCUGGGCCUUUUGUUGAAGAGACUUGUUCAGUACUUGAUUAAAAAUCUGACCUGGGUUUUAGACCUAACUCUGCCAUUUCAAUUAAUAGUAGCUGCCAUGAAUUGAGUGCCCACUGUGAUUGAGAUACCAUACUUGGUACCUUGUUUUCAUACUAAUAGAACUGACACUGAAGAUUAUUAUGUGCUAAGCCCUGUGUGUAUGUGUGUGUGUGUAUAAUCUUUGUAAUAUAAAUGUAUAUAUGAUCUUAGAUAAGGCAUAUUUUAUACAUGAAAUUUAUGUGUAAGACAUAUUUACAUAUAAGAUGUUAAUAUUUUGCAUAUAAAUUUAAAAUGUAUGUAAAUAUAUAUUAAAAAUCAUUCUCUCUGAAUUUGCCUGAAAAGUUUGGAUGAAAUGUGGCAGGUUGGGUAGUGCCCCUGCCCCUCCCAUCCUGGCUCAGAUCAUUUCCCACCCUCUACCUAUGGUCUCAGAAGGUAAAACGGACACUGAGGCAGGCGGGGAGCUGGGCUUCAGGGACAGGCAGAGGGCCUUUGCUACACUGCUGCCAGCUACGGGGAGCCCCAGGUCACGGCCUGGGACUGCUGGUGUGGGGCGGGCACAGACAACAUAGCCACGCCCAGGUCUUUAUGCAUGAAGAUUAUGUAAAGGUUUUUAUUGAAAAAUAUAUAAAUAAAUGAUCUAGAUUAAAAAAAGAAAUCAUUCUCACCUCAACCCUAAGAAGUAGGUUCUGUUGCUCCUUAUCAUAUAGGUAAGCUGAGACACCAGUAGAUUAAGAAAUAUGCUUACAGUCAUACUGCUAGUAAGUGGAGUUGCCAGAAUUAAAACCUAACCAAUUCUUGGGGAGUGGGGGGAAUGAUACAUUGUGAUGAUUGUUAUACAACUAUAAAUAUAAAAAAUUCAUUGAGUAAUAAAGAAGGAAAAAACCUAACCAAUUCUUUUUAUUUUUUUUUUUAAUUUUAGUUUUUUUUUUUUUUUUUUUUUUUUUUUUUUUNUACCCAUGGCAUAUGGAGGUUCCUAGGUAAGGGGCCGAAUUGGAACUAUAGCUGCCAGCCUACACCACAGCCACAGCAAUGCCAGAUCCGAGCCGUGUCUGCGACCUACACCACAGCUCACGGCAACGCUGGAUCCUUAACCCACUGAGCAAGGCCAGGGAUUGAACCUGCGACCCCAUGGUUCCUAGUUGGAUUCAUUUCAGCUGUACCACAACAGGAACUCCUUUUAUUUUUAAUGUGGAAAAAUUAGAACAUAUACAGAGUAGACAGAAUAGGUUAAUGAAACAUGAUGUUCCCAUCACUUAGCUUUAAAAGCUGUCUAUUCAUGGUUAAUCUUAUUUCAUUUUAAACCACUACCAACUUCUCAUCCUGUGCUUUGAAGAAAGCUUAGCUAUCAUAUUUUGUCGUUAAGUAUUUGACAAUGUAUUUCUAAAAGAUGACUUUAAAAAAACACAACCAUGGAGUUCCCAUCGUGGCACAGUGGAAACGAAUACAACUAGGAACCAUGAGGUUGUGGGUUUGAUCCCUGGCCUCACUCAGUGGGUUAAGGAUUUGGUGUUGCUGUGAGCUGUGGUGUAGGUCGCAGACGUGGCUCAGAUCUGACAUUGCUGUGGCUGUGGUGUAGGCCAGCAGUUGUAGCUCCGAUUGGAUCCCCAGCCUGGGAACCUCUGUGUGCCAUGGGUGUGGCCCUAAAAAGCGGAAAAAAAAAACAAAAACAAAAAA